AUUGAACGCUGGCGGCAGGCCUAACACAUGCAAGUCGAACGAGUGGCGGACGGGUGAGUAAUGUCUGGGAAACUGGCUGAUGGAGGGGGAUAACUAAUGGAAACGGUAGCUAAUACCGCAUAACAUAGGCUGUGCCCAGAGGGGAUUAGAUAGUAGGUGGGGUAACGGCUCACCUAGGCGACGCUCCCUAGCGGGUCUGAGAGGAUGACCAGCCACACUGGAACUGAGACACGGUCCAGACUCCUACGGGAGGCAGCAGUGGGGAAUAUUGCACAAUGGUCGCAAGCCUGAUGCAGCCAUGCCGCGUGUAUGAAGAAGGCCUUCGGGUUGUAAAGUACUUUCAGCGAGGAGGCGUUACUCGCAGAAGAAGCACCGGCUAACUCCGUGCCAGCAGCCGCGGUAAUAC
rnacentral:rRNA from 1 species